rnacentral:tRNA from 1 species
GGUGGUGUGGUGUAAUGGUAGCACGUGACGUUGUGGAAAACAAUAAUUGUUGUCUUGCACGCAUAAUAAUAUUCAUCCGUUUCAAUCUGGGUUCGAUUCCCAGCACCGCCA